UCCGGAGUUACUGGGCGUAAAGCGCGCGCAGGCGGCUCGUCAAGCCUGACGUGAAGGCCCCCGGCUCAACCGGGGAGGGUCGUCGGGGACUGGCGGGCUUGAGGUCGGCAGGGGUUGGUGGAAUUCCCGGUGUAGUGGUGAAAUGCGUAGAGAUCGGGAGGAACACCCGUGGCGAAGGCGGCCAACUGGGCCGGACCUGACGCUGAGGCGCGAAGGCGUGGGGAGCGAACGGG
rnacentral:rRNA from 1 species